GUGAACGCUGGCGGUAGGCCUAACACAUGCCAGUCGAACGGCAGCACAGUAAGAGCUUGCUCUUACGGGUGGCGAGUGGCGGACGGGUGAGGAAUACAUCGGAAUCUACUUUUUCGUGGGGGAUAACGUAGGGAAACUUACGCUAAUACCGCAUACGACCUACGGGUGAAAGCAGGGGAUCUUCGGACCUUGCGCGAUUGAAUGAGCCGAUGUCGGAUUAGCUAGUUGGCGGGGUAAAGGCCCACCAAGGCGACGAUCCGUAGCUGACCUGAGAGGAUGAUCGGCCACACUGGAACUGAGACACGGUCCAGACUCCUACGGGAGGCAGCAGUGGGGAAUAUUCGACAAUGGGCGCAAGCCUGACCCAGCAAUGCCGCGUGGGUGAAGAAGGCCUUCGGGUUGUAAAGCCCUUUUGUUGGGAAAGAAAAGCAGCAGGUUAAUACCCCGCUGUUCUGACGGUACCCAAAGAAUAAGCACCGGCUAACUUCGUG
rnacentral:rRNA from 1 species